GUGUAGGUAGCUCAAUGAUAAAGCGUGUGCUUAGUGUGCAAGAAGCCCUGGGUUCAAUUCCCAGCACCCACA
rnacentral:tRNA from 1 species